rnacentral:rRNA from 1 species
UACGUAGGUGGCAAGCGUUGUCCGGAUUUACUGGGCGUAAAGAGCGCGCAGGCGGUCGUUCAAGUCGCGUGUGAAAGCCCCCGGCUCAACUGGGGAGGGUCACGCGAUACUGAUCGACUCGAAGGCAGGAGAGGGUAGUGGAAUUCCCGGUGUAGUGGUGAAAUGCGUAGAUAUCGGGAGGAACACCAGUGGCGAAGGCAGCCUUCUGGGCCAACACUGACGCUCAUGCACGAAAGCGUGGGGAGCAAACAGG